rnacentral:lncRNA from 1 species
GAGAGACAGAGACCUGGGCAGAGGAAGAAGCCUGAUACAGGAGUCUAUACCAGGACCCCAGGACCCCAGCGCCCCAGGGCCCCAGGUUCACAAUCUGAGCCGAAGGCAGGCACUCAACUGCUGAGUCACUCACAUGCCCAGCAUGGACCAUUUAGAAAGGGUACUGAGCAGGCAUCUCUUUUAAGGAAGUGGACACUCGAGCUGAGAUCCAAAAAAUAUGAAGAAGCAAGUCUUGUAAACAUGUGGGAAAGGCAUAUUCCAGACAAAGGGAAUAGGUCUCUGUGUGUCUGCAGCAGAAUGAUGGCCAGUGGAACUGCAGCACAGAAAGGAGUGGCCAAGGGAAAGAAGAUGAUCUUGGACAGAAGAGCAAUUCCUGUAGAGCACCCUGACUGAACAGAGAGAGAGAGUUUAAAGGAUCGGGUAUGGGGUGGUGUGGCUUUAAGUGGGAAAGAACUCCAUUCUAAGAGCCCUCCCACUGCAGAGCAGGUCCCGGCCCAUGCUGGGGCAGUGCCUGUCUGGGUGGCAGCUAAUCAGAGACAAAACCAGAGGUGACUAGAUUAGAGGAAGCUGUCUGAAUAUUAUCUGUGCCAUUUCUUACUGUGGAAUUUGAUUUGAAAACUGCCAGUAACAAUCUUUUCUUGGAAGUAGGCAGGGAUAGAUAGUAUAAAUAAAUAUAAUCUAAAGGCAAAAACAGGACUGAAAAUCAAAUCUCCCAGCAAAAAGCAGCUAAAGCAGGGCUUCAAAUCAAAUCUUCAGGUCUAGAGGAAAUCUGUAGCAAUUACAGAGCACCAUGCACAGCAGAGGAGCAGUAUAGACAGAAGUACUGGCAUGGACCUGUUAGAGGUCUCAGUCUGGUUUAUGUUAGUAGCAGAAUUUUAAAAAAGGGGAUGGGCUUUAGAAAACCAGAAUCCAAACAGUCAUUUACAGGUUAUUUUUAAAAGGCACCCAAAUUAGCAUGUCUAAACUACUUGAGUCUUCCGAGCAUCUCUUUAUCCCACUCCCACAUCCUUCUGGUAAUAGUCUUUGAUUUUCUUUCCAUGGGAUGGUUACAUAAUGGUACCCCCAACCCAGUGACCAAGUAAUAAAACUAAAGAGCAGGCACCUGACCUUAGUGAGCAAAUCUCAAUCUCUCUCCAAGAAUUUGAAAACAGUACAGAACACAACAUGUGCAAAGGCCCAGAGGUGGAAAAAUGUUGGGAGCUGAGUUGUUUUUGGAUGGCAUUCUAGAGAGAAGGUCCAGAGACACCUGCUAAUGAGUUUUCACCUAAUUCAUUUUCUUAAUAUAUACUUGGUUAGUUGGCCAUAUUGAUUUCUGUUGCUGAGAGUGGAAAAAUCUUUAGUGAAUGUCAUUAUCAAUGUUUAUAAAUGU